ensembl:lncRNA
AUGCUCCCCCAGGGCUGGCUGUCUGCACCCUCUCCUGUCCGCCCCUGCGCCCAGCCCGGGCCCGGCCGCCUGCCCGUGGAUGAGCCACAGGACUUCCUCCACCUUCAGAGCGGAGAGAAGCUUCCAUUCCUCCUCUUCUUCCUCCUCCUCCUCGUCCUCCUCGGCCUCCCACACCCUCCCGGCCCAGGACCCACCCAUGGAGAAGGCCUUGAGCAUGUUUUCCGAGGAUUUUGGCAGCUUCAUGCGGCCCCACUCAGAGCCCCUGGCCUUUCCAGCCCGCACCGGGGGGCCUGGCAACAUCAAGACCCUGGGCGAUGCCUACGAGUUUGCAGUGGACGUGAGUGACUUCUCACCUGAAGACAUCAUUGUCACCACCUCCAACAACCACAUUGAGGUGCGAGCUGAGAAGCUGGCAGCUGACGGCACCGUCAUGAACACCUUUGCUCACAAGUGCCAACUGCCAGAGGAUGUGGACCCCACAUCGGUGACCUCGGCCCUGCGGGAGGACGGCAGCCUCACCAUCCGGGCCCGGCGCCAACCACACACGGAGCACGUCCAGCAGACCUUCCGGACGGAGAUCAAAAUCUGAGGGCCCUCCCCUCCCCGGCCCUGCCCCCACCGCCCUCUCCUCUCCCCCACUGGUCUGCUAGAGAGGCUUUCCUGCCCCCCUUGUGACAGCUUCCGGGACAUCUCAGCCUGGGUUCCAGGCCCUGACACCCCCACCCCCGCAGACCCCAGGUGGGUCAUUCCCCCCACAUGAGGCCUUCUGCUCCACCUGGGGCAGGCCAGGGACCCUCUUGCCUCACCUGUGGCCUCUGGAUUCCAGAUGUGGCCUCUUUCACUUAAUCCAGAAUAAAGGAAUUGGGAUGGAGAAUGGGAGAUGCCAAAAAAGCCACUUUGGGGACAGGGGCUUGGGAUAGGCAGGCUCUCUGGGCAUUUAAUCUGCAGGACAGACAGAAUCUUUGAUCUGUGGAAUCUCUGCAGGGCAGGGGCAGGGGGAUGAUGGGGCCUGGGACCCCCUCCUUGGCCAAGGGGAUCAGGAGAGGCAGAUUCAGUUUUCUUUCUAAACUGAACUGCCAUGGGGACACCAGAAGGAGACAGCAGGAUGGUCAGCUCCCCUCAGCCGCUCUACCAGCCCCGACCCAGCUGCUAGGCUGCCUGCCCACAAGGUGCCCCCUCCAGCCGGCUGUGCCAGGGCAGGGCCACGUUGUGUCUGUGUAUAGAUGGGGUUUUUCCAAUACAGCUGGUUCGUGAUAAACUGUGUGAACCGUCUGUUACCUGCUCAUGCCUCCAGGGAGGCUGGGCUGAGGGGGUGGGGCUGGGCCUUCUCCCUCCCACCCAGGGGACCUGGGCUCCCCAGGCUGCCUCCACUGCAGACAGGUCACCCAGCAGAGGGAGCCUGGAUAGGCCUUUGGGUCCUCAAGGUGGGACCCCAGCUUCUUGCCAACCUUCCCUUGAGGCCAUUUGCCUCUCCCAUCCUUUUCUAUCCUUAAUCUGCGAAUCUAUAGGCACGCGCGAACACACACACACACACACACACACUCUUAACCUUGUUCUUCAAAUACUAAGUAUUACCAGUGGUCGAAGCCCAAUUUGGACCAUUCUAAAAUCAGAUUUACCCUCUCGAUUUUUAACACUGAGUCUCCGAGCAGCUGAGUGCCCAGCUGAUGGCUGGAUUUGAACCCACGAUGUCAGAAGCUGCUCUCAAACCACCCCUGCCCCCUCUGGGCAGUGAGGAGUAGUUCCCCUCAUUCUGCCUCUUUUGGCCUGUGCACUCUGCCCCCACCCCUUCCUGCUCAACAAUGCACAGAUUGCCGUAGAGUCCCCAGCCCAGCUCCCUCCUAGGCCCCAGUCCAGGGUAAGGACCUCCAGUCAGCCUUCAUUCUGGGCAGCCUGGCUGCCUCCAGGGACCCUGGCUCAGCCACAGACAGAAGCAGAGGUGAGGAGGAAGGGAUGAUUGACAGUCAGUCAGGGGCCCCAGAACAAAGUGGCAAGGCCAGCCUCAGCCCUCCGCUCCUCUUGGGUCAUUGUUCUGUAAGGUAGCCUCUCACCCCUGCCAUUUUGGGACCCUUAGGGGAAAAGUGGGGGGUGGGUGGAGAAGGGGCAGGGGAGGGUCCUGGGAUUGUACCCUGCACACGAAAUAUAAUAGACAACAGAACUUGGACUUUGGGAGAUCACCUGCCUGAAGUUCUCAAACUUGGGGUAAGGCUAGAGACAGCAGGGGUACAAAGCCCCAGGACAGACACACCUUUCUUAAGAUUUGGGGGUGAGGGGAGGUCCUGUUGUGGCUCCGUAGAAAUGAACCCGACCAGUUUCCUUGAGGAUGCAGGUUCGAUCCCUGGCUCCGCUCAGUGGGUUAAGGAUCCCAUGUUGCUGUGGCUGUGGUGUAGAUCGGCAGCUGUAUCUCCAAAUCAACCCCAAGCCUGGGGACUUUCAUAUGCUGCACCUGCAACCUUAAAUUAAAAAAAAAAAUGAUUUGGAGGUGGGGGCAGUUGUUCAAGUAAAGCUCAAGAUCUCACAGAAGGAAUUUCCCGGUGGCCUAGCAGUAAGGAUCUGGCAUUGUCACUGCUGUGGCAUGGGUUCAAUCCCUGGCCCCAAAACUUCCAUAUGCCAUAUGGCCAAAACAAACAAACAAACAAACAAAAACCCCAAGCCCCCCAUAAAAACAAAAAAAGUCUCACAAAAAUGUGGGUGUGUUUUGGCCUCCUCCCUGGGCUCUCAGGCCCAUGUGGAGUGUAAUCUGGGAAUUAUUUCCAUGAAAAACCUCACAUCGCCUUCUCUUCCAACUGUCAGCCCCUGCUACUCCCUGCCAGGCACUGUGACACCGAAGGUGGGCCAGCCGCACUGGGCUGCCUGCCCUCCUAAAGCCUAUCUGUACCAGAUGGGUUCUGAGGACCAGAGAGCCUGAGUGACUGGCCUAAGGUCACACAGCUGGAAAGGCUGAGCCAGGUUGGAACCCGGCUGGGAAGCGGACUGGUCAGGGAGUCUGUGUGCCCUAUGAGGGACACACACACACCCACGCACCACCAGGCCCUCCUGAAAUCGGAGUGCCAGGAGCUCCCCAGCGCAGCUCGGCUGCAGACAGGAGGGGAGUGGAGGGGGCACGGUAUUUCCAGCCUCUGUGACUCACUGAUUCCACCGGGCUAUUUGCAGCCCCAACACUCAUCGGCGGCGAGGAGCUGGGGGGAGGAGCCAGACCAGUUUUCCCCCUCCCUCGACCCCCACUCGGGGUCAGGCUCAGCUUGGCAUCCCGACCCCAGCAGCGUCCCUCCCUGGGCCGGGCUGGCGGGAAGCUGGGCUGGGAAAGGGGGCAGCUCCCCGGGUGGCCAAUGGGGCUCCAGGCCCCAGCAGCCCCCUCCCCAGAUGGUGGUUUUAGUGGAUAAGGGCUGCGCAGUGCACAGAGCCGCCACCGGGGACACGGGGCGGUCUAGACGGAAGGCGCCCUCCUGCCAAGGUGACCCUGGGAAGAGGAGGGAGGGGAGGUGGGGACAGCCGGCUGCCUUCUCGUUGGCCCCGCCCUCUGGCGCCUGGGCGGGUCGCCGCGCUUUGUCUUCCGCCGCCCCCACCUUUCCAGGCUAAGUAUAGGUCUGGCUGCGAGCGCUGAGCCCCGCCCCCACCCCGAAGAUUAAUUAUAGCAGCCCCAUUCAUUGAGCGCCUCCUGUGUGCCAAACACCUGCUCAUCCCCACAACAAUCCCGCAAGGUGGGUACCAAGGAGGAGAGGCGGUCCAGAGAGGUCAAGCAGCUGGUCCAAGGUCACCCAGCUUGGAAGUGGCAUGGCUAGAAUUUGAAUCAUCGUCUCUGGCUCUAGAAAGACCUCUGCUGGGUCAGCCCAGAUCAGUCCCACCACCACCAAAGGGCGAGGCUGCUCUCCUGCCUCCAUUCUGUACAGGGAAACUCCAUCUUACAGCUUUAGGAGCAGACAUGGGUAGGGGGCAGGGGAGGUUGAAAAGAUGGAGCCCUCUGGGGCUAAAGACCUGUGACAAGGUCCAGGUCACGUGGUGCCAGAGGCAUGUGGGGCAUCCAGGAAGUUCCAUCGAAUCAGAGCUGCUGCUGCUGGCCUCCGCCACAGCCGCAGCCACUCCGGACAGGAUCCAAGCCACACCUGGGACCUACACCCAGCUCAUGACAGCGCUGGAUCCUUAACCCACUGAGUGGGGCCAGGGAUAGAACCCACAUCCUCAUGGAUACUAGUCGGGUUCUUAACCCUCUGAGCCACAACAGGAACUCCCAGUUCCAUUGCUUUUCAAGGCCCAGUCCAGGUCAAAAACCUCCUCCUCCAAAAAGCCUUCCAGAGCUACAAGCUCAGAGGCACUGGCAGAUCCCGGAGAAACCAUAGGCCUAAAACAUGUCUUCAAAAGAAACUCAAACUCAGAUGAACGGAACACAUGCCUGGAAGUAAGGGCAGACCCUGAGGCUUGAUUGGCCAGCCCUGUGUCCUUUGGGAGUCACUCCAAAAUCCUCAGGGUUUGAUGGAGAGAUGUAGGCCCAGGGAGGGGGAGAGCCUUGCCCAGGGUCACACAGCAAGUCAGUGGCAGAGAUGAGAUGAAGACUCAGGCCUCCAGAACUUCAGGCCAGAGGUGCUCUACCAAAGCAACACCCCCCCAUCUGCAUGACCUCCGUUUCCUGACUCACUUCCCACAUUGUAGCCCCUCAUCUCCCCCUGCCCCCAUCAACUCACUUCCCAGGCCGCUGUGGAUCCCAGUUCUGCAAUGGCAGAAGAUGCCUUAUUCUGCCCUCUUGUUCCCAAGCCUGGCACAGGAAAGGAGCUCAGUCAAUGGUUGUAGUAUUUUUUAUUUAUAUAUUUAUCUUAUUUCUUUAUUUUUAAAAUUUAAUUAUUUUGCUUUAUGGCCAUACCUGCGGCAUGUGGAAGUUCCCAGGCCAGGGACUGAAUCCAAGCCAUGGCUGCAACCUGUGCCAGAGCUGCGGCAACACUGGUUCCUUUAACCCACUGCAUCAGCCUGGGGAUUAAACCUGUACCCCUACAGUGACCCAAGCUGCUGCAGUCAGGUUCUUAACCCACUGCACCACAGCGGAAACUCCUUUAUUUUUUAAUUUUAAUUUAAAUUUUUUUUUGGCUGUGCACAUGGCAUGUGAAAGUUGCCGAGCCAAGGAUAGAACCUGUGCUACCGCGGCAACCUGAGUCGCUACAAUGACAACACCUGAUCCUUAACUGGCUGCACCAUAAGAGAACUCCUGCAGAAUUGUUUUGAAAAGCUAUCAAGACUUAGUAAAGAGUGGAGCGUCAGUUGUGGAUGCUGGAGCCACACCACUUGGGUUCAAAUCUUGGCUCUGCUGCUUCUGAGCUGUGUGAUAUCUUGAGCAGUAACUUAACCUCUCUGUGCCUCAGUUGCACCAUCUGUGAAAUGGGGCCAGAAGAUCUACCUGCUGGGGUUGUUUUAAAAUUCACUUAAAGGGCUUGGCACAUAGUUGUUGACUGUUGCUCACACAUGCCAUGCAUUGGAAACACCCAGAAGGGCUCGUUUAGAACUCUGUUAUUUCAUGUAUAUUUGGUGCCCACUAGCCCCAGCUCACCCACAAGACUUGGGCUGGAAGGGCAGAAGAACUGCCCUGUACCUGGAAUCUUCUGUCCAGAAAACCAGGUGAGGCAGAGCUAAAAUGUAGGUUCCUGGGCCCUCUGGGAACACCUGUCUGGGCACUGGGGGAGAAGCACCUUGAAGGCUUAGUUUCCUCUUGUAUAAACAAAGAUCAGGUACUGCUAUGAGGAGCCAGAGAGAGACAGUGUUUUACUAUAAACUCAAUAAAUGCUAAGCUCCUGU